rnacentral:rRNA from 1 species
GCUUACGGCCACACCGGCCUGAGUACGCCUGAUCUCGUCCGAUCUCGGAAGCUAAGCAGGGUCGGGCCUGGUUAGUACUUGGAUGGAGGGAGACCGCCUGGGAAUACCAGGUGCUGUAAGCU